CCCUUAGAUGUCCUGGGCCGCACGCGUGCUACACUGACGCAUACAGCGAGCACUUUCCAGUUCCGAGAGGCUACUGGUAAUCAUCAAUAUGCGUCGUGAUGGGGAUAGAUCUUUGGAAUUCUGGAUCUUGAACGAGGAAUGCCUAGUAAUCGCAGGUCAUUAGCCUGCGAUGAUUAAGUCCCUGCCCUUUGUACACACCGCCCGUCGCUACUACCGAUUUCGAGUGGUCAGGUGAAUCUUUCGGACUGAGGGCGCCCUUGAGGUGUUCGCGGAAAGUCAGGUAAAUCUUAUCACUUAGAGGAAGUAAAAGUCGUAACA
rnacentral:rRNA from 1 species